GGGGCUGUAGCUCAGUGGUAGAGUGCCUGCCUAGCAUGCAUGAGGCACUGAGUUCAAUCCUCCGCACCACG
rnacentral:tRNA from 1 species